GAUGAACGCUGGCGGCGUGCCUAACACAUGCAAGUCGAACGAGAAAGCUAUCUUCGGAAAGCGAGUACAGUGGCGAACGGGUGAGUAACACGUUGGUGACCUGCCCCGAGGUGGGGGACAACUGUGGGAAACCACAGCUAAUACCCCAGAUGUUGAGGAGUUUAGACGCCCUUAACUAAAGUUCCGGCGCCUCGGGAGGGGCCUGCGGGCUAUCAGCUUGUUGGUAGGGUAAUGGCCUACCAAGGCUAAGACGGCUAGGGGGCGUGAGAGCGCGAUCCCCCACAAUGGGACUGAGACACGGCCCAUACACCUACGGGUGGCAG
rnacentral:rRNA from 1 species